rnacentral:lncRNA from 10 species
CUUUAUAAUCCAACGCCUGCAGUUUAUAGAGACCCAGCCUUGUUAAGUGAACAGAGGCACAGUUAACCAGGGCACGCCCUGAGAAGGGACAGGGUUGGGGCUACAGCCUUGGUAUUGGGAAGGUUCAGUUCUUCACCCUAUAUUGAACUUUCUUAUGAGGUCAAGAUGUGUAGAUGAAGGUUCUGGUCUGAGAUCUUAAAAAGGGAGAAGUCUAAUAUCACCCACACAUUCCUGUCUUCUUUCCUUCAACUGUGCCCUCAUACUGGCUCCUUGAUCUGAGUUAUAUCUAUCCUAUUCAAGUAGGAGCCUCUGAAACUCUCUCUCAAUCCCUGGACAAGAUCGUCCUUCUCUUCUUAGCCCCAUGUGAACUGUGAGCUCCAGAAGGAAAAGACCCUGUGCGCCUCAUCUCUCAGUUCUGGGCUUGGCAUUCAGCAGGCAUUUGAUAGAGGUUGGCUAACUGAACGACAGUGUGUAAGAAGAUGCUGAGUAAUCUAAAAGAAGAGGCAGCGUCUUACUGUUACCCAGACUACAGUGCAAUGGCAUGAUUAUAGUUCACUGCAGCCUCAACCUCCUGGCUCAAGCGAUCCUCCUGCCCUUAACCUCCUGAGUAGCUGGGACUACAGGUAUGUGCCACCAUGCCCAGCUAAUUUUUUAAAUUUCUUAUUUGUACAGGUGGGGUCUUGCUAUGUUGCCCAGGUUGGUCUUGAACUCUUGGCCUCAAGGGAUCCUCCCAUCUUGGGCUCCCAAAGUUGAUGGGAUUAGAGAUGUGAG